UUGACUGCUCUGGGGACCAGAACUUGAAAUUUCUCUGCAAAACAGAGCAUAAGCAAUAGCAGUGAAGGUUUUCACUGUGGUUGCCCAGGCUCUGUCACUGAGCCUCAGCCCUGUCCUGCUGGGGCCACCGCACCAGGUGGAAGAGCAAUUUGGUCUCCUCUCGACUUAAUCCUCGCCUGUC
ensembl:misc_RNA